CACGUAGGGGGCAAGCGUUGUCCGGAUUUAUUGGGCGUAAAGAGCUCGUAGGCGGUUCGGUAAGUUGGGUGUGAAACCUCCAGGCUCAACCUGGAGACGCCACCCGAUACUGCUGUGACUAGAGUCCGGUAGGGGAGCGUGGAAUUCCUGGUGUAGCGGUGAAAUGCGCAGAUAUCAGGAGGAACACCGGUGGUGUAGACGGCUUUCUGGACCGUAACUGACGCUGAGACACGAAAGCGUGGGUAGCAAACAGG
rnacentral:rRNA from 1 species